AUUGAACGCUGGCGGCAGGCCUAACACAUGCAAGUCGAGCGAGCGGCGGACGGGUGAGUAAUGCUUGGGAAUCUAGCUUAUGGAGGGGGAUAACUACGGGAAACUGUAGCUAAUACCGCGUACCAUAGGAUGAGCCCAAGUGGGAUUAGGUAGUUGGUGAGGUAAAGGCUCACCAAGCCGACGAUCUCUAGCUGGUCUGAGAGGAUGACCAGCCACACUGGGACUGAGACACGGCCCAGACUCCUACGGGAGGCAGCAGUGGGGAAUAUUGCGCAAUGGGGGCAACCUGACGCAGCCAUGCCGCGUGAAUGAAGAAGGCCUUCGGGUUGUAAAGCACUUUCAGCGAGGAGGCGUUACUCGCAGAAGAAGCACCGGCUAACUCCGUGCCAGCCGCCGCGGUAAUAC
rnacentral:rRNA from 1 species